rnacentral:lncRNA from 1 species
ACGUGACAGCACUCUAGCACCUUUGCUCACUGGCGUGGACUUGCUCACUGACUCCUGCUUCACUGAAUGAUGACUUCAUUGCUUUGGGUAGAGAUUUAGGUAGUCAAGGGACAAAGCUGUAGCUUUUAAUGUUUAGAAGACUUGUGAAGAUUCCAGUUACAGUCCUGUAACUGACUAGAAUGAUCAGAUGUUCUACCAUUGUUGGCCGACCUUAUGAGAAUAAACUUCAGUUAAUCCUCUCACAGACCUAUAUGUAAAGUAGAUAGAUAGCAGUCAACUGUAUUUUGGGGAUUAUCUCCAAAUACUGUAUUUCUUCCAGCUAAUUUUUCAGUGAUUGUAACAGAUGCCAUCUAAUUAUUCAUGAUCAUGUUUCUUAAGAGAUCUUGCCAUGGCAGCAACUUGGUUAAAUAAUUACAUAUGCACAAUUCAUAACUUAAUAGGUUUAAAUCUAGUCAUUGAUUAGAUUUUGUAGUAUUCGGAAUAGAAAGUGUUAUUUUCUAGCAGCAAUUUAGUCAAUUGUAUUUGAACCAAUUUAUUGUCAGAAUUCAGAUAGGGUAGAUUUGAUACUUGAUGUUUCUUGUUCUGGGAUAUUCGUAACUUUUAGAAUCCUAGAACACCAUUAAUGAGUCUUCCCUUCAAUAAAUGUACUUCUCACAUACCUCUAAUCCUAUGCUUCCUUGAAACAAUAAUACGCUAGCCAGGUUGCUUACUAAGGAUUGUUAGGAGGGCAUGGAGGUACUGGGAGGGGUAAAUAUUGAAAGCUUGAUCUCUGGUGCAAGGGGAAAAUAAAUAGGCACUAAGCCUGCACAGGCAGAAAACACGGAUUUCCUAAGUAGCCCAAAACAGUAUUGCUUUCUCUCCCUUUUCACAUAUGCCACUGUGCCCUUUAGAUCUUGACCUGGAAACCUCAGGUUUGUGGACUGCGCAGCUGAGUGGCAUUUUGUGCUUCCUGAAGCUCCCCUUUGCUAGGUACAUUACCUUAGUGCUUCAGACGUCAGCCUGAGGCCUUGCUACCUCCAUUUGCUGCCCAGGGAAGAGUUUGUGCUGGAGCUGGGUGGAGCUCUGGCCCUCCUCACGUGAUGGUCUGAGUCUGCAUUUUAAGGGACAUGAUCCCAGAAAUGUACACACUUAUCUAGUUUUAAAGGAGAACUGUGGAUCUCUCAGGCCAGGAUUUUGUGACUGAUUUUUAAUUACUUGGUUAAUACCUAGAGCCCAUUAUAAAAAAACAAGAUUAAUGAGAACUGGCAAGAUUUGAUGUUUUUGGCCUAAUUCCAAAGCAUGGAUGCUUUGGAAGGUAGGAAGAAACCCUGUUCUUAUGAUUUGUAGCUACCUUCUGCGCCUGACUUGGUGCCGUGUGAGAGUUAAGCCCUUAGUCUGCUCUUGCAAUUACUCAAAUGACUGAAGUUUAAAUUUUUUGUUUUGUAACAAUAAAAAUUGUCAUCUUU